rnacentral:rRNA from 1 species
UACGUAGGGUGCGAGCGUUAAUCGGAAUUACUGGGGCGUAAAGCGUGCGCAGGCGGUUCGUUGUGUCGGCGGUGAAAGCCCCGGGCUUAACCUGGGAAUGGCCGUUGAAACUGGCGAACUGGGAGUGUGGCAGAGGGGGGUGGAAUUCCGCGUGUAGCAGUGAAAUGCGUAGAGAUGUGGAGGAAUACCGAUGGCGAAGGCAGCCCCCUGGGAUAACACUGACGCUCAUGCACGAAAGCGUGGGGAGCAAACAGG